rnacentral:rRNA from 2 species
UACGGAGGGGGCUAGCGUUGUUCGGAAUUACUGGGCGUAAAGCGCACGUAGGCGGCUUUACAAGUCAGAGGUGAAAGCCCGGAGCUCAACUCCGGAAUUGCCUUUGAGACUGUAUCGCUUGAACACGGGAGAGGUGAGUGGAAUUCCGAGUGUAGAGGUGAAAUUCGUAGAUAUUCGGAAGAACACCAGUGGCGAAGGCGGCUCACUGGACCGUUGUUGACGCUGAGGUGCGAAAGCGUGGGGAGCAAACAGG